rnacentral:rRNA from 1 species
AACGAACGCUGGCGGCAGGCUUAAUACAUUCAAGUCGAAUGCCCCGCAAGGGGAGUGGCAGACGGGUGAGUAACGCGUGGGAAUCUACCCAUCCCUACGGAACAACUCCGGGAAACUGGAGCUAAUACCGUAUACGCCAUUUUGGGGAUAGGUUUAUCGGGGAUGAAUGAGCCCGCCUUGGAUUAGAUAGUUGGUGGGGUAACAGCCUACCCAGGCGACGAUCCAUAGCUGUUCUGAGAGGAUGAUCAGCCACAUUGUGACUGAGACACGGCCCAAUCUCCUACGGGAGGCAGCAGUGGGGAAUAUUGGACAAUGGGCGCAAGCCUGAUCCAGCCAUGCCGCGUGAGAGAUGAAGGCCUUAGGGUUGUAAAGCUCUUUCACCGAUGAAGAUAAUGACGGUAGUCGGAGAAGAAGCCCCGGCUAACUUCGUGCCAGCAGCCGCCGCAGUAA